CCUACGGGUGGCAGCAGUCGAGAAUCAUUCACAAUGGGGGAAACCCUGAUGGUGCGACGCCGCGUGGGGGAAUGAAGGUCUUCGGAUUGUAAACCCCUGUCAUGUGGGAGCAAAUUAAAAAGAUAGUACCACAAGAGGAAGAGACGGCUAACUCUGUCCCAGCAGCCGCGGUAAUACAGAGGUCUCAAGCGUUGUUCGGAAUCACUGGGCGUAAAGCGUGCGUAGGCUGUUUCGUAAGUCGUGUGUGAAAGGCGAGGGCUCAACCCGCGGACGGCACAUGAUACUGCGAGACUAGAGUAAUGGAGGGGGAAGCGGAAUGCUCGGUGUAGCAGUGAAAUGCGUAGAUAUCGAGAGGAACACUCGUGGCGAAGGCGGGUUCCUGGACAUUAACUGACGCGGAGGCACGAAGGCCAGGGGAGCGAAAGGGAUUAGAUACCCCAGUAGUC
rnacentral:rRNA from 1 species